rnacentral:rRNA from 1 species
AUUGAACGCUGGCGGCAGGCCUAACACAUGCAAGUCGAGCGGAUGAAGGGAGCUUGCUCCUGGAUUCAGCGGCGGACGGGUGAGUAAUGCCUAGGAAUCUGCCUGGUAGUGGGGGAUAACGUCCGGAAACGGGCGCUAAUACCGCAUACGUCCUGAGGUAGAAAGUGGGGGAUCUUCGGACCUCACGCUAUCAGAUGAGCCUAGGUCGGAUUAGCUAGUUGGUGGGGUAAAGGCCUACCAAGGCGACGAUCCGUAACUGGUCUGAGAGGAUGAUCAGUCACACUGGAACUGAGACACGGUCCAGACUCCUACGGGAGGCAGCAGUGGGGAAUAUUGGACAAUGGGCGAAAGCCUGAUCCAGCCAUGCCGCGUGUGUGAAGAAGGUCUUCGGAUUGUAAAGCACUUUAAGUUGGGGGGAAGGGCAGUAAGUUAAUACCUUGCUGUUUUGACGUUACCAACAGAAUAAGCACCGGCUAACUUCGUG